GUCUUAGUAGCGCAAUUGAUAGCGCGUUGGACUUAUAAUCCAAAGGUUGAGGGUUCGAUUCCUACCUGGGAUG